ACUCAAAGGAAUUGACGGGGGCCCGCACAAGCAGCGGAGCGUGUGGUUUAAUUCGAUGCUACACGAAGAACCUUACCAGGGUUUGACAUGUAAGUGGUAGGGAAGCGAAAGUGGACCGACCCUUCGGGGAGCUUACACAGGUGUUGCAUGGCUGUCGUCAGCUCGUGUCGUGAGAUGUUCGGUUAAGUCCGCUAACGAGCGCAACCCUCUCUGCGUGUUACACGAGUCACGCGGGACUGCCAGUCUUAAGCUGGAGGAAGGUGGGGAUGACGUCAAGUCAGCAUGACCUUUAUGUCCUGGGCUACACACACGCUACAAUGGCCGGUACAGCAGGUAGCGAAGCCGCGAGGCGGAGCCAAUCCAGAAAGCCGGUCUCAGUUCAGAUUGCAGGCUGCAACCCGCCUGCAUGAAGACGGAGUUGCUAGUAACCGCAGGUCAGCUAUACUGCGGUGAAUACGUUCCCGGGCCUUGUACACACCGCCCGU
rnacentral:rRNA from 1 species